UUCUCAGUGGUCCAACGGUCAAGACUCGUGCCUGUCACUCGCACGCAACCGGGGUUCGACUCCCCGCUGGGAAG
rnacentral:tRNA from 1 species